AUUGAACGCUGGCGGCAGGCCUAACACAUGCAAGUCGAACGAGUGGCGGACGGGUGAGUAAUGUCUGGGAAACUGCCUGAUGGAGGGGGAUACCUACUGGAAACGGUAGCUAAUACCGCAUACCAUCGGAUGUGCCCAGAUGGGAUUAGCGAGUAGGGGGGGUAACGGCUCACCUAGGCGACGAUCCCUAGCUGGUCUGAGAGGAUGACCAGCCAGACUGGAACUGAGACACGGUCCAGACGCCUACGUGAGGCAGCAGGGGGGAAUAUUGCACAAUGGGCGCAAGCCUGAUGCAGCCACGCCGCGUGUAGGAAGAAGGCCUUCGGGUUGUAAAGUACUUUCAGCGGGGAGGCGUUACCCGCAGAAGAAGCACCGGCUAACUCCGUGCCAGCAGCCGCGGUAAUAC
rnacentral:rRNA from 1 species